rnacentral:lncRNA from 1 species
GUGCCAGUACGCUCUAAAAGAUUGACGGAUAGAAUUUGGAAAAAUAACAAACUUGUCAGCGUCAGAGUUUUAACAAAUAUUACAAUUGCACGUUGGGGGAUGCAAUGCUCUUAGGCAGUUAACCAUUUCUAACAUGAUUUCGCUUCAAUCGUCUGCAUCAUCCUGUCUAAUUUAUGAUUACCUCUUUUUUUAAUAAAAGACCCGAUAUUGUAAAUACGACCUUUCAGCACCUCGGGGGCGCAUAUUUUAAGGCUGUGUUAACUAACCGACCAAAAUCCUGAAACCAUGAUUAAUGGUGGCUGUUAAUGCAAAUUCAGUCUCCGGCGUCCCUUUCGGGGACAUUCGGCUAUAUUUGACAAAACAGCAUCGCCAAACUUUUUUACGACUCUUUUUUGUUUUAUGAAAAAUAGAAAACCAGAUAUUUGCAAACACGGCCUUUCAGCGCCUCGGGGAUGAAGAUUCUAAGGCUGUGUGGUUCAAUUGACCGAGAAUCUAAAAAUGACCAAAGGUGGCCGUUUAUGCAAAUUCAGUCUUCCGGCGUCCCUUUCGGGAACAUUCGGCUAUUUUUGACGUAAAAACCAUCACCUCACUUCCUUAUGACGAAAAUUAAAAUUUUGAUAUAUUUUUGGCUUUUUUAGAAAAGGGGAGGUUGGACCCGAUGAGGGUUGCCUACGUAUCUCACACCCUGUGAGAAUUAAACCAGCGUAGUUCGCCCAAUAACUAACUAAAAUUUUAAGCAAAACUCUUUUUCAAUCUUUAUCUAUUUUUUGAAAUAACAACCCCCUUUUGUUCUAUUUUCCAAUUUUUUUUAAAAACUCUUUUUUUUCUCUAUUUUGUUUGGCCUUUAGUAAAACAAACUUCAUAUAAAAAACAUUUCUUCUUUGUUUUUCAAUUUUUUUCAAAAUUUUAGUAGAGUUCCGACAAUAUUAGACAUUGGGUUUUCAAAAAUAAUCAACUAACUCUCCAACUGCUAUUUUUCUAUUUUUCUCAAUUUUCCAACAAUCCCGAGAUUCAGAAGCUGGUCAACAUGCGGAUCCAAAACAAAUAAAUUCCCAUAACACAAGUAGGAUGCAUCAAGAUGGUCUUUUCUAUUUCAGGUUGCUAUUCCUAGACGAACCCAACUCCUGUGUUGAGUCCCCUAAGUCAACAAUGUACAUGAUGCAAAUAAGUAUUCCCACUAGGGAUCCAAUAUGAGGUUAAGUUAUUCUAGGUUCAAAACCUGGGUGUUUGUUCUAGACCUGGCUUACCCGAGCGUGUUGAGUCCCCUAAGUCAAAAUGCACAUGAUGCAAACAAGAGUUCCUUCAAGGGAUCCGGUAUGGGGUUGAUUUAUUGUAGGUUCAAAACCUCGUGUUUGUUCUAGACCUGGCUUCCCCGAGCGGACAGCUCGAGCCGAGGAGGAAGCGGCAAUCCGGGAAUAUAGAAGCUUCUUCGGCUUUAGACUUAUCCAAACCUCGGUCUAAAUUGGGAUUUGACACUAUACAGAAAAGAAGUCAUACACCGUACACCCUUCUUCACAAUUCAAAAGACUCAGAGAGGAGAUGAGUUUCGGCACACUUUAUAUACAGUUCACGUAAUAUCAAAGCGGUAAAAGCAAUCAAUUAGCAUAUUAAGCACAUAUCAUGUAACAAAAUCAGAUAAAGCCAAACACAACAAUUAUUCUAAGCUUGAAUUCUGAACCCUGAACAAAACGUUCUGGGUUCGUUUCCCCAACAGAGUCGCCAGAGCGGUGACACCUCCUUUUUACCGCUCGCAGGGUGUAGAGGAUUUUUUUUCAAUUAAAGGACAAUCGAAAUGGGAUUAUUUAUUAAGGAAUCAGAGUCGCCACUUGGGAGAUUUAUGGUGUCCCAAGUCACCGUAAUCCCGAAUCGAGGAAAAGAAUGACUCUGUUUAACAGUCCGCGCACCAGAAAUCUGGAUAAGGAAUUCUGUUAACCCCGGAGAAGGUGUUAGGCAUUUCCAAGUUCCGUGGUUCUAGCACGGUCGCUCAACCGUCAUAUUUAUCUUAUUUAUCCGAUGUUAUUACAUGAAGAACCUAUGUGCCAAUUUUGCUUUUUACCGCUUUUAUUUAAUAUUUGUUUAUUUGAGAAAGUGCGUCAUUUAAAGUGUGCUUUCGGAUUGCGCUGCCGGAGCCCGCAAUCCUAGGCAAACUCUAUCCAACGUAUUAGGAUUUGGACUGCAUAAAAUGCCCACCCGAGUUUAGGAAAGAUAACAUUAUUAAGUACACACCUAAAGAUGCUAACGCGUUAUUAAUUUUGAGAAGGCCGUGAAAUUCUCUAACUGGCCCAUCCCGGAGUCUAAGAAUUUAAAUAUGGGAUUUUUACAUAUACAUCCAAUAUAGCAAACCUUAUUACCAUUAUUGUGCCUUGUUUGGU